GACAUUUUAAUCAUUAAAGAGAUAAAUUAAUUUACUUUUUAAAAUUUUAUUUCUAAUGGCAUACCUAUGUAAUUAUUUACAAAAAUUAAGGUUACAUUUAAAAUGUACUUCCCAAAUAAUAUAGUAGGAUACAUUGGCUCCGAUUGGUAACCACUUUUGAGAAAAAGAAUGAGUAGAAAAGUUGUGUUCUUCUUUGUUCCUUAGUUUUUUUUACCAUUUACAAUGUAUUUUUGUUCCAUUUUCAGACAUGUGGGUCCUACAUUUUUCCUCAUCAUUCCUCAAAAAAAAAGAAUGAUAGAACAAAAUUGUUCCAUCCCAAAAUUGUAGAGGAACCAAGAGGAACAAAAAAGUAAAAUUCGUUUUUAUU
rnacentral:sRNA from 1 species